rnacentral:rRNA from 1 species
UAGGGAAUCUUCCACAAUGGACGCAAGUCUGAUGGAGCAACGCCGCGUGAGUGAAGAAGGUCUUCGGAUCGUAAAGCUCUGUUGUUGGUGAAGAAGGAUAGAGGCAGUAACUGGUCUUUAUUUGACGGUAAUCAACCAGAAAGUCACGGCUAACUACGUGCCAGCAGCCGCGGUAAUACGUAGGUGGCAAGCGUUGUCCGGAUUUAUUGGGCGUAAAGCGAGCGCAGGCGGAAUGAUAAGUCUGAUGUGAAAGCCCACGGCUCAACCGUGGAACUGCAUCGGAAACUGUCAUUCUUGAGUGCAGAAGAGGAGAGUGGAACUCCAUGUGUAGCGGUGGAAUGCGUAGAUAUAUGGAAGAACACCAGUGGCGAAGGCGGCUCUCUGGUCUGCAACUGACGCUGAGGCUCGAAAGCAUGGGUAGCGAACAGGAUUAGAUACCCUGGUAGUCCAUGCCGUAAAACGAUGAGCGCUAGGUGUUGGGGACUUUCCGGUCCUCAGUGCCGCAGCAAACGCAUUAAGCGCUCCGCCUGGGGAGUACGACCGCAAGGUUGAAAC